rnacentral:lncRNA from 1 species
CUGGAACAGAUGGGAUCUGCGGGAUCCUGGUCCAGCUUGGGGUAGGGUGGGGAGGGGAGGUUCUCUGAGGAAGGAAGGCCUUCUCUGAGGAUUUUAGUGUUGCAGCUCUUGUAGGUGAUACUCAAUGAAACAGCUCUCUUAGAGAAUCUUCAGUAAAAUAGCUGCUGUGCAUACACUGUAUACAAGGGCUACAUAUGAACCUUGGAGAGUGGAGAUUUCUGGGUGAAUAUAAAAGGCGAUGGCUGAAGCUUAAGUCCUGUGAAUGCCUCAUUUGUCUGGAGAUGCGUUCCGAGAAUCUCAGAUUUGAAUUUGCCCUUUGAAUCCUUGGUGGCAUAUGGUGGAAUUGUGGCUAGCAGACAGUCUCUCACUAAACCUGGAGCUUGUGGAUUUUGCUAGACUGACUGACAAUCAAGCCCCUGUGUCCUUCUGCCUCUGCCUCCCCAGAGCUGAGGUUACAGGUGCAAGCCAUGAUGCCAGACUCUGUAAGUGACUGCUGAAGUUCAACUCAGAUCUUCAUGUUUGACUGUCAUCUCCCAGGCUACACUCCUUGAACUAAGUCAGGCUACAGAGGCUGCAUUUCCUAGAGACAUCUGGUCAACCUCACAUCCAUGGAGUAGAGAGCAGAGAACACUCCUUAGAGAAAAGGGACCUGAGUUCAAGUGGGUUCCAGUCUGAAUCCCAGACUGAACAGCUUUCGUAUUUUUCAAUUAGUCUGGAGCUUUUCAUACCUGUAAAUUCUGCUUCUGGAAUAGUCUUCCACCUAGUACGUCAGCUUUUCCCAAGGAGAGUGCCUUCCCCACCUGCAUACUUCCUUUUCUGAGAAGUGUCUAAUUUCUAUGUUGCAACAAAUAUGUACUCAGUGAUAAGUGGAUAUUAGCCCAGAAACUUAGGAUACCCAAGAUAUAAG